rnacentral:rRNA from 1 species
GACGAACGCUGGCGGCGUGCUUAACACAUGCAAGUCGAACGGAAAGGCCCCUUUGGGGGUACUCGAGUGGCGAACGGGUGAGUAACACGUGAGUAACCUGCCCUUGACUUCGGGAUAACUUCAGGAAACUGGGGCUAAUACCGGAUAGGAAUCCUUGCUGCAUGGUGGGGGUUGGAAAGCUUCGGCGGUUUUGGAUGGACUCGCGGCUUAUCAGCUUGUUGGUGGGGUAGGGGCUUACCAAGGCUUUGACGGGUAGCCGGCCUGAGAGGGCGACCGGCCAUAGUGGGGCUGAGACCCGGCCCAAAGCCGCAGGGGAGAAGGAGGGGGGGAAUUUUCCACGGGGGGGGAAGGCUUAAGGCGGCAACGCCGGGGGCGGAGUGCGGGCUCCGGGUUUCCAACCCGUGUUCGGAAGGGGCGAAGUUUGUGGUGAGGGUCCAGGAGAAAGAAAAACGGGCAAACAACGUG